rnacentral:rRNA from 1 species
UGCCAGCAGCCGCGGUAAUACGAAGGGGGCUAGCGUUGCUCGGAUUUACUGGGCGUAAAGGGCGCGUAGGCGGACAGUUUAGUCAGAGGUGAAAGCCCAGGGCUCAACCUUGGAAUUGCCUUUGAUACUGGCUGUCUUGAGUACGGGAGAGGUGAGUGGAACUCCGAGUGUAGAGGUGAAAUUCGUAGAUAUUCGGAAGAACACCAGUGGCGAAGGCGACUCACUGGCCCGUUACUGACGCUGAGGCGCGAAAGCGUGGGGAGCAAACAGGAUUAGAUA